GAUCCUCUCAGGACGAACGCUGGCGGCGUGCUUAACACAUGCAAGUCGAACGAGAAUCUGCGGAAAGAGGAUUCGUCCAAUUGAAGCAGAGGACAGUGGCGGACGGGUGAGUAACGCGUGAGGAACCUGCCUUUCAGAGGGGGACAACAGUUGGAAACGACUGCUAAUACCGCAUGACACAUCGGAGUCGCAUGGCUCUGAUGUCAAAGAUUUAUCG
rnacentral:rRNA from 1 species